UCUCCCAUGGUGGCCAAAUCCCUCACCCCACAGCCGGCGCCCUUCGUCAUGAACGCCAGCGCUCCCUGGUCCAGCCGCCGCUCCCCUCCGUCACCACCGCGGGUGCUCCCUGUCAGGCCGAGGCUCCCCUUCCCAGCCGCUGCUCUUCCUCCCCUUCAUGUCGAAUCGAUCGCGGAAGUGGCCGAGGAGGCCCUCGAGCUCGGCAUGCUCGCGCCAGCGCUAGGCGCCGGCGGAGGCAUACGCGGAGGCGUGGCACUCGCACGCGCCUUCUCUACCCCGCUCCUUCUCCGAAUCCGGUUGCCGAAGUGCUCGAGGAGCCGCUCGAGCUCGGCAUGCUCGCGUGCGACGCCGGGCUUCUCGCUCCUCCUGAUGCCAUCGCCAUCGCCGUCGCCGCCAUGAGCCUCUCCACCCUCUCUCGCGCGGUUGUCUGGGUCCAGAUUGCUGCACCUUCCGGUUGUGAGUGGAUCCAAGAGUUAACAUGAAAGAAAGGAAGUUGGAGAAGUUACUAUUGAAGAGAAAUUCAGUGUCAUGUAGUUCUCAAGAGAUAAAAUGGAACAACAAGUGCAAGCCUCUCAUUCCUACACUAACUAAUCAGAUUUCGAGAGGGAUAAGGAGGUGCCUAAAGGGGAUGGGAGCAAAAAGUCUGACUCGAAGAGUAUGUUUUGAUUCUGAGUUGCAUUGCCCAGUAUUUUUAUUGUUCUAAGAAAUUCAUGGAGUUGUCUAUGGAACAUUUCCUUGAUGUGAUAGGCAUAUUUGUUUACCACAUUCAGUUGUUGGCCCUGCUGUUGACGUCCAUGGUGGCGCUGAUGAUGAUCUUGGCAAGGAUGGGAAAAUGAACUUCUCUUCUUUCUCCUCAUGUAUGUUCAGAUUUUAUGUAUCUGCCUGGGGCCUUGGUAUGUUCUUGAGCACGCAUCAGGUCAAAGGAAGAAGUCGAACCUGAAGAAGUGCAGGGAAGAAUUUCAGCUACGUGUGGUCGGCUGGUUCAGGGGACGUGCAGGGCGGGCGCGGCCGCGCGGGUGCCGGGGCAGGCUCCUGGGCACUGGCGAUCUCGCGGGCGCGGCCCCGCGGGUGCCGGGGCAGGCUCCUGGGCACUGGCGAUCUCGCAGACGGAUGCCACGCUGCAAGGGCAGGCUCCUGGACGCCCGCUAUGUCGCUGACGGAUUCCACGCUGCGAGCGGCAACAAUCGGCGAUGGCGAUCGUGCAGGGAGGCCGGAGGCGACAGAGUGGUGCAGUGCCGCGAGGUCGCCGUGCAGGCAGGCAGUGGCGGAGCUAUGUUAUAAGCUACAAGCCAGGCAGGAGACGGUGUUGGUGGGCGGCGUCUAGCGCUGUGGCGACUCAAGGCAGACAACUUCGAGGUUAAGGGCGAGGGGAGCCGAUUUCGUUGAGUUUCCUUCAUUAGCGAUCAGAAUUGCGUAAUCUGAGUUUCCUUCAUUAGCGAUCAGAAUUGCGUAAUCCUAGGGGAUGCUAAACUGAUAGUUGGAAUAUUCCUCGUUGGUGGAGUAUGGUCAGCCAUUGGAAAUUGCUAGGUCCACACCAUUGGGCUAUUAGAUUAAUGAUGACCGUUAGAUUGAGAUAUAUGGGCCUAAUCGUCCGGUGCUGAUUGAUCUGUGUGGUGUUGUGUGUUUAAUUGCGGGAUGCACUUAAGAAAAUUCUUGUUUGAUUGUUUAAUAGUA